rnacentral:rRNA from 1 species
UAGGGAAUCUUCGGCAAUGGGGGGAACCCUGACCGAGCAACGCCGCGUGAGUGAAGAAGGUUUUCGGAUCGUAAAGCUCUGUUGUUAAGGAAGAACGAGUGUGAGAAUGGAAAGUUCAUGCUGUGACGGUACUUAACCAGAAAGGGACGGCUAACUACGUGCCAGCAGCCGCGGUAAUACGUAGGUGGCAAGCGUUGUCCGGAUUUAUUGGGCGUAAAGCGAGCGCAGGCGGUCAAUUAAGUCUGAUGUGAAAGCCCCCGGCUCAACCGGGGAGGGUCAUUGGAAACUGGUUGACUUGAGUGCAGAAGAGGAGAGUGGAAUUCCAUGUGUAGCGGUGAAAUGCGUAGAUAUAUGGAGGAACACCGGUGGCGAAAGCGGCUCUCUGGACUGUAACUGACGCUGAGGCUCGAAAGCGUGGGGAGCGAACAGG